rnacentral:rRNA from 1 species
UACGGGGCGCAGCAGGCGCGAAAACUUUACAAUGCGGGAAACCGUGAUAAGGGAACUCUGAGUGCCCGUUAAAUCGGGCUGUCCACCAGUUUAAAAAACUGGUGAAGAAAGGGCCGGGCAAGACCGGUGCCAGCCGCCGCGGUAAUACCGGCGGCUCGAGUGGUGGCCACUAUUACUGGGCUUAAAGCGUUCGUAGCUGGUUUGUUAAGUCUCUGGGGAAAAUCUUCCGGCUCAACCGGAAAGGCGUCUCAGGGAU